rnacentral:rRNA from 1 species
UACGUAGGGCGCAAGCGUUGUCCGGAAUUAUUGGGCGUAAAGAGCUCGUAGGCGGCUUGUCACGUCGGGUGUGAAAACUCGGGGCUUAACCCCGGGCCUGCAGUGGGUACGGGCAGACUAGAGUGCGGUAGGGGAGACUGGAAUUCCUGGUGUAGCGGUGAAAUGCGCAGAUAUCAGGAGGAACACCGGUGGCGAAGGCGGGUCUCUGGGCCGUAACUGACGCUGAGGAGCGAAAGCGUGGGGAGCGAACAGG